UACGGGGGGGGCAAGCGUUGUUCGGAAUUACUGGGCGUAAAGGGCUCGUAGGCGGCCAACUAAGUCAGACGUGAAAUCCCUCGGCUUAACCGGGGAACUGCGUCUGAUACUGGAUGGCUUGAGAUUGGGAGAGGGAUGCGGAAUUCCAGGUGUAGCGGUGAAAUGCGUAGAUAUCUGGAGGAACACCGGUGGCGAAGGCGACAUCCUGGACCAACACUGACGCUGAGGCACGAAAGCUAGGGGAGCAAACAGG
rnacentral:rRNA from 1 species